rnacentral:rRNA from 1 species
CGGGUGAGUAACACGUGGGUAACCUACCUAUAAGACUGGAAUAACUCCGGGAAACCGGGGCUAAUGCCGGAUAACAUAUAGAACCGCAUGGUUCUAUAGUGAAAGAUGGUUUUGCUAUCACUUAUAGAUGGACCCGCGCCGUAUUAGCUAGUUGGUAAGGUAAUGGCUUACCAAGGCGACGAUACGUAGCCGACCUGAGAGGGUGAUCG